GUCUGCGGCCAUGCUACCCUGAAUAAGUCUGAUCCCAUCUGAUCCUGGAGCUAAGGAGGUUCAGGCCUGCUUAAUACUUGGAUGGGAGACCACCUAGGAAGACCAGGUGCUGUAGGUG
rnacentral:rRNA from 1 species